rnacentral:rRNA from 1 species
GAUGAACGCUGGCUACAGGCUUAACACAUGCAAGUCGAGGGGAAACGCCGGGGAAGCUUGCUUCCCCGGGCGUCGACCGGCGCACGGGUGAGUAACGCGUAUCCAACCUGCCUCUGACUGAGGGAUAACCCGUCGAAAGUCGGCCUAAUACCUCAUGGCAUCGUCUGCGGGCAUCCAACGACGAUUAAAGAUUUCAUCGGUCAGGGAUGGGGAUGCGUCUGAUUAGCUAGUUGGCGGGGUAACGGCCCACCAAGGCGACGAUCAGUAGGGGUUCUGAGAGGAAGGUCCCCCACAUUGGAACUGAGACACAGUCCAAACGCCUACGGGAGGCAGCAGUGAGGAAUAUUGGUCAAUGGGCGAGAGCCUGAACCAGCCAAGUAGCGUGCAGGAUGACGGCCCUAUGGGUUGUAAACUGCUUUUAUGCGGGGAUAAAGUGAGGGACGUGUCCUUCAUUGCAGGUACCGAAUGAAUAAGGACCGGCUAAUUCCGUG